CGUUGGAUGAAAAGCGUGCAAAAUGGAAAUGGCUUUGGCUGCGGAACAAAGAUUCAGAGUCAGUCGAAGCCAAUGAGGUCUGGUGAUAGUCUAAGCUCUUUGAGCUCUUUGAAAGCACGCUAGGGAUUUGUAGAGGUGCAACAACAAUCCCAUCUGCUGAUAAUGAACUCUGAUCGCGAAGAAUUCCCUAUUUAGGCCUGAGCAAAGAACCAUAUGAUCCUAUCGAGCCGAAGCUAUCAAUGGAUCCGUUUGAUUCUGAUCGAUUUAAGUUUAAAAUCCAAAAAAAUUAAAAGUUAUUCAUAACAUUUUUUAAAAAAACUUUAGUUUAAUUUGAAUUUUUAAUUUGUUUUCAAUUUCAAACCUACCAUUCUACCAAUGUCA
rnacentral:misc_RNA from 1 species